UUCCUGGUGGUCCAGUGGCUAGGACUCUGCACUCCCAGUGCAGAGGUCCUAAGUUCGAUCCCUAGGCAGGGAA